rnacentral:rRNA from 1 species
CUGGUUGAUCCUGCCAGUAGUCAUAUGCUUGUCUCAAAGAUUAAGCCAUGCAUGUCUAAGUAUAAGCAAUUGUACGGUGAAACUGCGAAUGGCUCAUUAAAUCAGUUAUCGUUUAUUUGAUAGUACCUUACUACUUGGAUAUCCGUGGUAAUUCUAGAGCUAAUACAUGCUUACAGCCCCGACUUCUGGAAGGGGCGAGUUUAUUAGAUAAAAAACCAACGCCCUUCGGGGCCUCUUGGUGAUUCAUGAUAACUUCACGGAUCGCAUGGCCUUGCGCCGGCGACGGUUCAUUCAAAUUUCUGCCCUAUCAACUUUCGAUGGUAAGGUAUUGGCUUACCAUGGUUUCAACGGGUAACGGGGAAUUAGGGUUCGAUUCCGGAGAGGGAGCCUGAGAAACGGCUACCACAUCCAAGGAAGGCAGCAGGCGCGCAAAUUACCCAAUCCCGACACGGGGAGGUAGUGACAAUAAAUACUGAUACAGGGCUCUUUUGGGUCUUGUAAUUGGAAUGAGUACAAUUUAAAUCCCUUAACGAGGAACAAUUGGAGGGCAAGUCUGGUCCCUG